rnacentral:rRNA from 1 species
UGGGGAAUUUUGGACAAUGGGGGCAACCCUGAUCCAGCAAUGCCGCGUGUGUGAAGAAGGCCUUCGGGUUGUAAAGCACUUUUGUCCGGAAAGAAAACGCCGUGGUUAAUACCCGUGGCGGAUGACGGUACCGGAAGAAUAAGCACCGGCUAACUACGUGCCAGCAGCCGCGGUAAUACGUAGGGUGCAAGCGUUAAUCGGAAUUACUGGGCGUAAAGCGUGCGCAGGCGGUCCGCUAAGACAGAUGUGAAAUCCCCGGGCUUAACCUGGGAACUGCAUUUGUGACUGGCGGGCUAGAGUAUGGCAGAGGGGGGUAGAAUUCCACGUGUAGCAGUGAAAUGCGUAGAGAUGUGGAGGAAUACCGAUGGCGAAGGCAGCCCCCUGGGCCAAUACUGACGCUCAUGCACGAAAGCGUGGGGAGCAAACAGGAUUCAGAUACCCUGGUAGUCCACGCCCUAACGAUGU